rnacentral:lncRNA from 1 species
AUGGCUCACGGGCCCAGCCUCUCCGCGGCAUGUGGAAUCUUCCCAGACCAGGGCACGAACCCGUGUCCCCUGCAUCGGCAAGCGGACUCUCAACCACUGCGCCACCAGGGAAGCCCUCUCCCUCUUAUUCUAUGUCAUUUGUUACUGGGCUGGUCUUAUUCUAUGUUCCUAGUGCCUGGGAAGUACCCAUCACAGAACAAGAUGUUUACCCAUUGGAUGAGAGAAAGAGGGAGAGAGGGAGGAAGGGAGAAAGCAAGGAAAAGGCAGAAGAGGAAAGAAAUCCCCAGACUUGUCCUGGACCCACAUCAUGAUUCCAUUAGCCAGCUGAGAGACCACUGCCUAAGGACGACGGAACUUGAUCUCAGCUUCACACAAUUACACUCCCUGCUUCAGCCCCAGGUGGCACAGGAAAACGGAACGUGGGUCUUUCCCUUGUGAAGCUGGAUUGACUUAUUCAGAGAGUACUUGGGCCAAUGCAUACUGCAAGUCAGAACGAUUCUUGGAGUUGAUUUGAACUGGUUAACUGGUUGCUUGAACAUAUAUGGGGCUGAGGAUAUCACAGGAGCUCACUAAAGUAAAGAGGAAAGGCUGCCUCCCAAGGUUGAAAUAUUUGGAAGAGAAUCCUCCAAAUCUCUGGAAGAUAUCGGCGGGAAGAC